CAUGCGCGCUCCAUAUUUGUGGCCUGCACUCUAUUUCUGUUGGUCUGUCGGUGCAGACCGAGGGCCGAGCAGCCUUGGGCAGAGGCUGAGGGGAAGGCGGAAGUCCAGUUCCGAACAAUAAACCGAGCUGGGCUGGUUCGGGGCUGACAGUGACCCCUCUUGCCGAAAGGAGUUGUCCAAGGUUACAUAAUAAGGCCGUCUGACGAGAGCUCACGCUUAGAACCCCUCCGCUGUUCUUGUGGAGAAGCAGUAUUAACACCUCGGCGGUGUUCAUCAGAAGUAGCAAAAUGAUGUGGCUGGAAGGGCUGCCGAGUCAGUGACAUUGCAGAUGGAUGGCCACAGUCCAUGACUUCAAGAGGACGGGCGUGCUAACUCUUCGCUGCCUAAAAGUAAUAGCAUGAUGAUCUGUGUUUCUUUCUCUUCAUGUGCCUUUCUCUUGGCAGAUGGAUUCGUGGCAGGAAGAGCGACUUCACAUCUGAUAUCAUUGACUAAGCCGUGAUCCACCGGCCAUGGGAGCUCUACAAACUUCUCAGAAGCCCCUUGGAAGAUGGCAGCCAAGGGUCUGUCUGUGGUCAGCUGGAAUAAAAAUUCUAAUU